CGUUAGCGGCGGACGGGUGAGUAACACGUGGAUAACCUACCUAUAAGACUGGGAUAACUUCGGGAAACCGGAGCUAAUACCGGAUAAUAUAUUGAACCGCAGGGUUCAAUAGUGAAAGACGGUUUUGCUGUCACUUAUAGAUGGAUCCGCGCCGCAGUAGCUAGUUGGUAAGGUAACGGCUUACCAAGGCAACGAUGCGUAGCCGACCUGAGAGGGUGAUCGGCCACACUGGAACUGAGACACGGUCCAGACUCCUACGGGAGGCAGCAGUAGGGAAUCUUCCGCAAUGGGCGAAAGCCUGACGGAGCAACGCCGCGUGAGUGAUGAAGGUCUUCGGAUCGUAAAACUCUGUUAUUAGGGAAGAACAAAUGUGUAAGUAACUAUGCACGUCUUGACGGUACCUAAUCAGAAAGCCACGGCUAACUACGUGCCAGCAGCCGCGGUAAUACGUAGGUGGCAAGCGUUAUCCGGAAUUAUUGGGCGUAAAGCGCGCGUAGGCGGUUUUUUAAGUCUGAUGUGAAAGCCCACGGCUCAACCGUGGAGGGUCAUUGGAAACUGGAAAACUUGAGUGCAGAAGAGGAAAGUGGAAUUCCAUGUGUAGCGGUGAAAUGCGCAGAGAUAUGGAGGAACACCAGUGGCGAAGGCGACUUUCUGGUCUGUAACUGACGCUGAUGUGCGAAAGCGUGGGGAUCAAACAGGAUUAGAUACCCUGGUAGUCCACGCCGUAAACGAUGAGUGCUAAGUGUUAGGGGGUUUCCGCCCCUUAGUGCUGCAGCUAACGCAUUAAGCACU
rnacentral:rRNA from 1 species